rnacentral:rRNA from 1 species
CCUACGGGAGGCAGCAGUGGGGAAUAUUGGACAAUGGGGGCAACCCUGAUCCAGCCAUGCCGCGUGUGUGAAGAAGGCCCUCGGGUUGUAAAGCACUUUCAGUGAGGAAGAACGCCUGGUGGUUAAUACCCAUCAGGAAAGACAUCACUCACAGAAGAAGCACCGGCUAACUCCGUGCCAGCAGCCGCGGUAAUACGGAGGGUGCGAGCGUUAAUCGGAAUUACUGGGCGUAAAGCGCGCGUAGGUGGCUUGAUAAGCCGGUUGUGAAAGCCCCGGGCUCAACCUGGGAACGGCGUCCGGAACUGUCAAGCUAGAGUGCAGGAGAGGAAGGUAGAAUUCCCGGUGUAGCGGUGAAAUGCGUAGAGAUCGGGAGGAAUACCAGUGGCGAAGGCGGCCUUCUGGACUGACACUGACACUGAGGUGCGAAAGCGUGGGUAGCAAACAGGAUUAGAUACCCCAGUAGUC